CGCGUAGGCGGCUUAGCAAGUCAGAUGUGAAAGCCCCGGGCUUAACUCGGGAAUUGCACCUGAAACUGCUUUGCUUGAGUCCUGGAGGGGAUAGUGGAAUUCCCAGUGUAGCGGUGAAAUGCGUAGAUAUUGGGAGGAACACCUGCGGCGAAGGCGGCUAUCUGGACAGUGACUGACGCUGAGGCGCGAAAGCUAGAGGAGCGAACG
rnacentral:rRNA from 1 species